rnacentral:rRNA from 1 species
GCCUACGGCCAUACCACCCUGAAAGCGCCUGAUCUCGUCUGAUCUCGGAAGCUAAGCAGGGACGGGCUUGGUUAGUACCUGGAUGGGAGACCGCCUGGGAUACCAGGUGUUGUAGGCU